rfam:Crassostrea gigas strain 05x7-T-G4-1.051#20 contig605, whole genome shotgun sequence.
GCUGAUAUGGUGUAUUCGAGCACAUUUCCUGUUACCCCCCAGGAAAAGGAGUGGGUUCAAUUCCCACUAUCAACA